rnacentral:rRNA from 1 species
UACGAAGGGGGCUAGCGUUGUUCGGAAUCACUGGGCGUAAAGGGCGCGUAGGCGGCCGAUCAAGUCGGGGGUGAAAGCCUGUGGCUCAACCACAGAAUUGCCUUCGAUACUGUUUGGCUUGAGACCGGAAGAGGUUAGUGGAACUGCGAGUGUAGAGGUGAAAUUCGUAGAUAUUCGCAAGAACACCGGUGGCGAAGGCGGCUCUCUGGACCGACACUGACGCUGAGGCGCGAAAGCGUGGGGAGCAAACAGG